rnacentral:rRNA from 1 species
GUAGGGAAUCUUGCGCAAUGGGCGAAAGCCUGACGCAGCCAUGCCGCGUGAAUGAUGAAGGUCUUAGGAUUGUAAAAUUCUUUCACCGGGGACGAUAAUGACGGUACCCGGAGAAGAAGCUCCGGCUAACUUCGUGCCAGCAGCCGCGGUAAUACGAAGGGGGCUAGCGUUGCUCGGAAUUACUGGGCGUAAAGGGCGCGUAGGCGGAUAUUUAAGUCGGGGGUGAAAGCCCGGGGCUCAACCUUGGAAUUGCCUUUGAUACUGGCUGUCUUGAGUUUGGGAGAGGUGAGUGGAACUCCGAGUGUAGAGGUGAAAUUCGUAGAUAUUCGGAAGAACACCAGUGGCGAAGGCGACUCACUGGCCCAAUACUGACGCUGAGGCGCGAAAGCGUGGGGAGCAAACAGGAUUAGAUACCCUGGUAGUCC